UACGUAGGGUGCAAGCGUUGUCCGGAAUUAUUGGGCGUAAAGGGCUCGUAGGCGGUCUGUCACGUCGGGAGUGAAAACUCAGGGCUUAACCCUGAGCCUGCUUCCGAUACGGGCAGACUAGAGGUAUGCAGGGGAGAACGGAAUUCCUGGUGUAGCGGUGAAAUGCGCAGAUAUCAGGAGGAACACCGGUGGCGAAGGCGGUUCUCUGGGCAGUAACUGACGCUGAGGAGCGAAAGCGUGGGUAGCGAACAGG
rnacentral:rRNA from 1 species